rnacentral:rRNA from 1 species
UACGGGGGGGGCAAGCGUUGUUCGGAAUUACUGGGCGUAAAGGGCUCGUAGGCGGCCAACUAAGUCAUACGUGAAAUCCCUCGGCUUAACCGGGGAACUGCGUCUGAUACUGGAUGGCUUGAGAUUGGGAGAGGGAUGCGGAAUUCCAGGUGUAGCGGUGAAAUGCGUAGAUAUCUGGAGGAAUACCGGUGGCGAAGGCGGCAUCCUGGACCGGCAUUGACGCUGAGGAGCGAAAGCUAGGGGAGCAAACGGG